GUACACUCCUGCGGGAGGCAGCAGUGGGGAAUUUUGGACAAUGGGCGAAAGCCUGAUCCAGCAAUGCCGCGUGAGUGAAGAAGGCCUUCGGGUUGUAAAGCUCUUUUGUCAGGGAAGAAACGGUGAAAGCUAAUAUCUUUUGCUAAUGACGGUACCUGAAGAAUAAGCACCGGCUAACUACGUGCCAGCAGCCGCGGUAAUACGUAGGGUGCAAGCGUUAAUCGGAAUUACUGGGCGUAAAGCGUGCGCAGGCGGUUUUGUAAGUCUGAUGUGAAAUCCCCGGGCUCAACCUGGGAAUUGCAUUGGAGACUGCAAGGCUAGAAUCUGGCAGAGGGGGGUAGAAUUCCACGUGUAGCAGUGAAAUGCGUAGAUAUGUGGAGGAACACCGAUGGCGAAGGCAGCCCCCUGGGUCAAGAUUGACGCUCAUGCACGAAAGCGUGGGGAGCAAACAGGAUUAGAAACCCGAGUAGUCCC
rnacentral:rRNA from 1 species